UGGUUCACAAGUUUUGAUUUUUCCUUUACACGUUAUUGAUUUUUCCUUCGUUUGCCUCUACUUAAGUCAUAACCGAUGUCAUGCUCCUUCAGGAUCUUGCUGAGCGGGUCUAUGGUUAAGCAGAAUAAAAGUGGCAAGAGGCUGUCUCCCUGGAAUAUUCCUCUCUGAACUUAUUUGUCUGGAAUCAUUAUUUGUCCCUCUGUGUGGUUUAGGGUGAUGGUGGUGUUCCACUUGUUCAUUUGUGCCAUCAGGAAAGAUCUUAUUUCCUCAUUGAUGUUGUCGAGUUCUAAGCAUCUCAUAAUCCAGGAGUGUGGCACACUCUCGAAUGCCUUUUUGUAAUCAAUCCAAGCCAUGCUGAGGUUUCUCCUCCUUUUUUGCAGUCCACCAUGAUUGUUUUGUUUAUCAGUGACUGGCACUUAUCUCCUACUAAUCUUUUUCAAAAACAACCUUUCUGUUCAUUUUCCAGGUAGCUACCAGUGUCAAGAUGUUCAUAAAUGGCAUCUGCUAUGAUUCAUCGACCAUGUGUACAUUGCUGUUAGGCAACAGAUUGGUCUGCACUUGUUGGGUAGCUGUGUUUCUUUGGUCUUUGGGAGUAGGCUUGUGUUUCCAGUCAUGAGCCAGUCUGGUGUGUCCUCUUCUCCGUUCAAUAUUUUUGUGAAAGCCAUGGUAUAAUGGUGGUGCAAUGUGGUCAGCCUUUUCA